AUUGAACGCUGGCGGCAGGCCUAACACAUGCAAGUCGAACGGUAACAGGAAGAAGCUUGCUUCUUUGCUGACGAGUGGCGGACGGGUGAGUAAUGUCUGGGAAACUGCCUGAUGGAGGGGGAUAACUACUGGAAACGGUAGCUAAUACCGCAUAACGUCGCAAGACCAAAAAUGUGGACCUUCGGGCCUCUUGCCAUCGGAUGUGCCCAGAUGGGAUUAGCUAGUAGGUGGGGUAACGGCUCCCCUAGGCGACUAUCCCUAGCUGGUCUGAGAGGUUGACAAGCCACUCAGGAUCACACACACGAGCCAGACACCUACGAGAGGCAGCAGUGGGGAAUAUUGCACAAUAGGCGCAAGCCUGAUGCAGCCAUGCCGCGUGUAUGAAGAAGGCCUUCGAGUUGUAAAGUACUUUCAGCGGGGAGGAAGGGAGUAAGGUUAAUACCUUUGCUCAUUGACGUUACCCGCAGAAGGAGCACCGGCUAACUCCGG
rnacentral:rRNA from 1 species